UCCGGUGGUCAUAGCGUGAGGGAAACGCCCGGUUACAUUCCGAACCCGGAAGCUAAGCCUUACAGCGCCGAUGGUACUGCAUGCGGGAGUGUGUGGGAGAGUAGGACGCCGCCGGAA
rnacentral:rRNA from 1 species